rnacentral:rRNA from 1 species
UCGGGCGGCGUGCCCUAAUACAUGCAGUCGAGCGGACCUCUUCGGAGRUCAGCGGCGGACGGGUGAGUAACACGUGGGCAACCUGCCUGUAAGACUGGGAUAACUCCGGGAAACCGGAGCUAAUACCGGAUACUAUGUCAAACCGCAUGGUUUGACAUUCAAAGACGGUUUCGGCUGUCACUUACAGAUGGGCCCGCGGCGCAUUAGCUAGUUGGUGAGGUAAUGGCUCACCAAGGCGACGAUGCGUAGCCGACCUGAGAGGGUGAUCGGCCACACUGGGACUGAGACACGGCCCAGACUCCUACGGGAGGCAGCAGUAGGGAAUCUUCCGCAAUGGACGAAAGUCUGACGGAGCAACGCCGCGUGAGUGAUGAAGGUUUUCGGAUCGUAAAACUCUGUUGUCAGGGAAGAACAAGUGCCGGAGUAACUGCCGGCACCUUGACGGUACCUGACCAGAAAGCCACGGCUAACUACGUGCCAGCAGCCGCGGUAAUACGUAGGUGGCAAGCGUUGUCCGGAAUUAUUGGGCGUAAAGCGCGCGCAGGCGGUUUCUUAAGUCUGAUGUGAAAGCCCCCGGCUCAACCGGGGAGGGUCAUUGGAAACUGGGAAACUUGAGUGCAGAAGAGGAGAGUGGAAUUCCACGUGUAGCGGUGAAAUGCGUAGAGAUGUGGAGGAACACCAGUGGCGAAGGCGACUCUCUGGUCUGUAACUGACGCUGAGGCGCGAAAGCGUGGGGAGCGAACAGGAUUAGAUACCCUGGUAGUCCACGCCGUAAACGAUGAGUGCUAAGUGUUAGAGGGUUUCCGCCCUUUAGUGCUGCAGCUAACGCAUUAAGCACUCCGCCUGGGGAGUACGGUCGCAAGACUGAAACUCAAAGGAAUUGACGGGGGGCCGCACAAGCGGUGGAGCAUGUGGUUUAAUUCGAAGCAACGCGAAGAACCCUUACCAGGUCUUGACAUCCCUUUGCCACUUCUAGAAGAAUAGAAGGUCCCCUUUCGGGGGACAAAGUGACAGUUGGCUGCAUGGCUGGUCGUUCAGGCUUCGUGUCGUGGAGAUGCUGGGAUUAGGUUCCGGCAUCGAGCGCAACCCCCUUUGGAAAUCCU